rnacentral:tRNA from 1 species
UAGGAAGUGGUGUAACGGAAGCACCAAGAGUUUUGAUCUCUUAGGUUUGGGUUCGAGACCCAUCUUUCUAA